UAUGAAAUAAUAUGUAUAGGUAUUAGGGAGUAGGGACUCUAGUAAAUCGAUCUUAAAAUUUUAAAAUUAUUUCAAUUACCUACGACUAAAAAUAUUAAAUUAUUAUUGACUAUAAUAUGUUUUACUGAAGAUAAUAAUAUGAUAUCAAUGAUGAAAGUAAUAUCAUAAACCUUGUCAAAUUCCCAGAUAAGCCUUUAAAAUGUAUAAAUCUAAUGGUAUACUAAUUAUUAUUGCUACGCAUUCUUCAUUGUACAACACUAAGUGUACAAGUUGUCGGUUUAAUUCCUUUGAUUUUUUUCCACUGAAAACUUUAGAAUAAGGUCGGAUGUUUUGGAUAUUAAUUUGACAACUCUUAAUACAGAAAUUAUUUAAGAAUCUAACUGCAAUCUUCACAAUAAUGAACCUACAAGCUUUCCUAAGUACUAGUGUUGUAGUCAAAUUACCAUGUUUAGUUUUGUGGCAAGGAAUUUAGUAGAAUGAGUUACUCAUAUACUCAAGAGAAAUAUGAUUUUAACUCAAUCAGUUGUAAAUCCUAGAAACGAAGAGUUAUUCGUUAUAAUGAAAACGCAGUUGAAAAAAAUGAGACGUCUACAUUUGUAUGGACUCAAAAAAAAAAAAUUGUCAAAUCAGUGUUUAUCAUCAUACGAAGUGGCUCUACUCUAUUUAACAAAUUUCAACAUUCAAGGAUUAAAAAAAAUUAAUAAGUUUCUACCGUACAUAUGGCAAUAAUUAAAUAUAGACCUAUGAAAACUAUCAAAGCGACUGCUGAUGUAUCUACAAGUUAAUCUUUAUGACGCUAUAUAGUAACAUUAGUAACUAAUCUGACCAUUAUGAAUAUUACUAUUUUUAUUAAUAUUUUGGCAAUUUAUUUUAAUAUGUUAUUGAACAAAUUCAGUAUAAACUCAUAUGCAAUAAAUUUUAUUGAUGGAUUUUGCUGCUAGAUAGUAUAAUAUGAACUGAUGAUUCUUAAUAUUAUUAUGCUUAUAAAGUUUUCGCUAAUUUCUUUUAAUGUGUUAUUUGACCAACUCAAAAAUGAUUUCAAUAUGCAAUGAAUUUAAUUGUAGAGCUAUAUAAAUCAGGAAAAUCAAUAACAGGAAUAGAAUAUUAAAUUUGGGAUUGUUUUUUUUUUUUUUGUAUGAAAUGUUAUUUCUACAGAAUAGUAAUUUUAAUAGAAAUAAAUAAUAAUAUUUAAUUGUAAUAUUGUCCUGAUAAAUACUAGGUUUAUAAUAUAUUAUCUUAGUGUAAUUAGUCUCUUCCUUUAAGAUCUAAAGUUGUCAUUUUCCAAUUUUUUUUUGCAUCCUUGAAAAUGAUUUUGAACAAUCUCAUAAGUGAUUCAAUAAUCAUUUGCAAAGAAUUUUAUUGAUGCAUUACCGUGCUAGAUAGUAUAUGAUAUAAUGGUUUUUAAUUAUUAAUAUUAUGUUGUACAUUUUUAUUGCACUCUCGAAACAUGUUAUUUAUUUGACUAACUCAGAAUUGGUUAAAACAUUGUUUGCUUUGAAUUUUAUUGAUACAUUUGGUUUGUGUUGUUUUGAUCAUUAUUAUAAAAUAUGUGUUUUCUAUUUAUCUCAUUGUUGAAUUUUGCUGAUAAUAGUAUUUGUAAUGAUUAUUGGUUUGUAUGUUAUUCUCUGCUCCAUCCCCUUAUGGUCAAUGUAUCAAUAAUUUAUAAUACUUAAAAAUCUAGAUAACAUUGCAAUUUGAUUUUUGAAAAUUUGUUCUCUGACUGGCUAUAUUAUAUAAUAUCUUAGUAUAGGUAGUCUCUCCUUAAGAUCUUAAGUUGUUAUGUCAUUGUACAAUUUUUUUUGAUUCCUUUUGAAAUGAUUUUGAACAAUCUCAUAAGUGAUUAAAUAAUUAUUUCCAAUGAAUUUCAUUGAUGCAUUUGAGUGCUUGGACAGUAUAUGUUAUGAUGAUUAUUAAUAUCAUAUAUUUUGCUAUACACUUUUAUUGAACUAUUUUUAACAUAUUAUUAAACAAUUAUUUGCAAUUAAUUUCAUUGAUGUAUUUGGUGACGUUCUUAUGAUCAUUAUUAUAAAAGAUGUUUUGCAUUCCUCCAAUAUGUUUUUUUAACCAUAUUGUUAGAUUUUGCUGAUGAUUAUUGUUUUGUAGUUUUUGUGUAGUGCUUUGUAUGUUAAUCUUAUUUCUGCCCCCUUAUCAUCAAUAUAAUAUGGUGUAUAUUUAUAAAAAUAAUUUUUUGGCUGUGCAGUAAUAGAAAGCAACUAGCAAGUUAUAUAGCACCUAGAGGCUUCUAUAUAUUUAACAGAAUUUUGCCAAAAUAAUUUUAUGCAUGUGCUACAGGUGGUGGUAAACAUGCCUAAAAUGAUCAGUAGGUCCCUAGUUUAAAUUUUAACUCAAAUUUUGCCUGCAAAAGUAUCAUGUUGAUAUAUUAUACAAUAUAUAAUAAGUUAUAACCACAAGGAAAAUAUGUCAGAUAAAUUGUUUGCUGUAUAUGCUAGAAACAAUUUUGAUUUCAAUAGAAUAAAGUUAACAACAAUACAAUUUUGCUAUUUAGAUUAUACUCAAAAUGUGGAUAGUAUUCUUAUUUAACAGAGUUAAGAUCUAAUUUUAAUUUGUUUUUCCUAAUUUUUGAUAACAUAAACACCUCAAAAACUAAAUAUUAUUUUUUCAUUUAUGUAAUAUUUUAUUAUUAUU